rnacentral:piRNA from 1 species
UUGAUUAACGCGGUGUUUUAGGAAAACUC